AGUUGUGGAGGGAAACAAAACUUCAAACUGAGGAACGCCGUCUUUCACGAUUCAAUUCCCACUCUCCCCAUCUUACAAUCGUCAAUCCAAUCCUCAGAAUUCGAAAUUCCGACUCAUCUCUUUACUUCCUCUCAAUGGAAUCCUCUUCAAUUACUCUCAUCAUCGUUAAAGGCCCUCGCGAGGGCGAAACACUAGAUUUUCCACCCGGAGCCACGAUUCGGAUCGGUCGCAUCGUUCGGGGUAAUUCUGUCGCCAUCAAAGACGCAGGGAUCUCCACCAAGCACCUCUCUAUCGAAUCCGAGUCCGUAUCAGGCAACUGGAUGCUUCGGGACCUCGAUUCUUCAAAUGGCACAUUCGUUAACGAUAUCAAGCUUCCUCCACACGAUGCAUUCGCUUUACACGAUGGUGACACCAUUAAAUGCGGUGAGUUGACUUCGAUUUUUGUUAGAAUAAACAGUAAUGAAGAGCCUCGGUCAAGGCGAAACCCUAGGCGUAAAGCUGUCGAGAAGUGUACAAGUUCCGAUGUUGUGGGGUCAGUUGCCGGAACUCGGGGUCGUAGAAGAAAGGUUGUGGAAGAGGAUAGCGUAGUUGGGGGAUGUAAUGACGCGAUGGUAGAGAGUGGAAGAUGUUUAAGGUCGAGAAAGGGCAGGGGCUUGAAAGAUGAAAUUGAUAGCCAAGUACCGGAUUGCAAGAAAACUGAGGACAAAAUAGAUGUGGGAAGAGAGUCAGGGAAUGUAAACAUUGCGGUAAACGAACCCGGCCCAAAAAUUGCUACAAGAAGUACCAGGAGAACGAAGAACACUGUGUCUUUGGCCACAAAUUCAGUUCUCGAGAUCGUCCCACAUGUGGGUGGUGAAGUAAAGGCUGAGGCAAAGAAGACGAGAGCAGGAACUAGGGGAAGGAAGAAAUUGCAGAAUGAGCCACCAUUGGAUAGCAGUACAGUUAUCAAAUUGGAACAUAUUGAAAACGUCGAGGAGAAGAGCUUAGGAGGAAAUAAACCUGUUGACGUGGGAGAAGGUAAGAAAAAUGCUAAUGUUGACGCAAGAUGCAGUGGGUCGAGCCCUCAAGAGGUUUGUGAUCGAGAUGAAAACCAAGAUGUGUGUAUCAUUUCAGAAGGUUGCGAAGAGGUUGCUGAUGGGCGAGCUUCACAUGAUGAGGACUUCCUUUGUAAGGCUGAGAAGGCGCCGGAUUUGAAGAAGAUGACACUUGGAGAUUGGUUUGAUUAUUUGGAGACUCAUUUGCCUAGACAAAUUAUUGAUGCAACCGAAGAGGUAAUUUCUGGCAUGAAAAUUAAAUCUAAACAAGUACAGGAGUAUGUUGUUCAGCAGAAGAUUGAGAAUUGCCAAGGAGAUUAGUGGAAGGAAAACACUGGUGUACGAGGAUGAACUUACUUGGAGCAGAUUCUUCAGCCAUAUUGAAGCCAAUAUUUGAGAGCUUCGAAAGCCUCUGGAAAUCCCAAGUUGCCGCCAAGUUGUCAGGCAUCUUUGAUCUUUGGCAGCCCACGUUGUGGAUUUAGCGGUGACUGGCCGGCGAUUACGAAUGCAUAAGCCUUCAUAGAUUACGUCUAUUACAAAUGGCCAAUAUGUAUUAUUAUAUAUUAUGUGCAGGUAUAUAUUAAGAUAAGCAUUCUUUGAUUCAGGGAUGUUUCAUCCUUUGAAUAAUUAACUAAUUUAGUUCCCACUUGUAGUUUAUUUUGCUAGAAUGGCAAGACUUUUCAUACGUUUUUUUCGUGGCCUUUCUAUCCAUGUUUGUAAAAAAAUGCAGUUCUUUAUAUAUAUAUAUAUAUUAAUGGCUUUUCAA